rnacentral:rRNA from 1 species
AGUGAACGCUGGCGGUAGGCCUAACACACGCAAGUCGAACGGCAGCACAGUAAGAGCUUGCUCUUACGGGUGGCGAGUGGCGGACGGGUGAGGAAUACAUCGGAAUCUACUUUUUCGUGGGGGAUAACGUAGGGAAACUUACGCUAAUACAGCAUACGACCUACGGGUGAAAGCAGGGGAUCUUCGGACCUUGCGCGAUUGAAUGAGCCGAUGUCGGAUUAGCUAGUUGGCGGGGUAAAGGCCCACCAAGGCGACGAUCCGUAGCUGGUCAGAGAGGAGGAUCGCCCACACUGGAACUGAGACACGGUCCAGACUCCUACGGGAGGCAGCAGUGGGGAAUAUUGGACAAAGGGCGCAAGCCUGAUCCAGCCAUACCGCGUGGGUGAAGAAGGCCUUCGGGUUGUAAAGCCCUUUUGUUGGGAAAGAAAAGCAGCAGGUUAAUACCCCGCUGUUCUGACGGUACCCAAAGAAUAAGCACCGGCUAACUUCGUG